rnacentral:rRNA from 1 species
GGAAAGAUGAAAAGAACUUUGAAAAGAGAGUUAAACAGUACGUGAAAUUGUUGAAAGGGAAACGAUUGAAGCCAGUCGUACCUUCGGGUAAUCAGCCUUUCGGGUGCGAUUCUGUGGAGUGUGAGGAGCUUAACACCUUCAUGCUUUGCAUAUUUGUGCUCUUGGGUGUACUUGCCCGUGUGGUUGGUUAACAUCAAUUUUGAUUAUCAUAAAAUGACUGGAGGAAUGUAGCUUCGAUCUCGUAUUGAAGUGUUAUAGCCUUUGGUAGAUGUGAUGAUCGAGAUUGAGGAUUGCAACGGAUACCCUUCGGGGCUACCUGUCUGGUCUCUGAUCGUUGCUCUGGUGCCGAAAGCUUGCUUACGGUUAUCAAAGUCGAUGGUCAAUAGGUUAGAACGGGUUAAAUUCGUUAAGGAUGUUGACGUAAUGGCUUUAAACGACCCGUCUUGAAACACGGACCA